rnacentral:lncRNA from 1 species
GUUCCACCUAAGCCCCUGGGAGCACAAGGGAGUUUACACUGCUCUGUCAGGAGUCUGCGACCCAGGGAACAACAACAGCUGGAUGUGUUGUGGCUGAUGUCAGCUUCUGGAUCGUCUCCCUUGGCAGCCUGAGUCACUGCUGUCAAAAUGAUCCUGUGCACCAUGUGGGUGGAGGACUGCAAGGAAUUUCUCCAAGCCAGAUGUGAAUAUCCCUGGAAUCCAAACCAUCACCAGCUUGUUGCAGUGCUCUCAAGGAGAGCAGGAGAAGGAAAUGCACAAAGCCAAAGCAGCAUCAAAGUGGCUGGUGCAGAUGAGUGCUGAGCCAUCCCAUUUCUACUCCAGCAGUUUCAGGGAGCUGGGAAAUAUCUCCCUGCACACCUCAGCCUGGAGACACCUGCCCAAAGGAGUACACAGCAGAGUGAAAGGACAAAAUUGAGCUUAAAAGAGGUAAUAUUAAUUUGCUAUCACACUACAUGAGCUAGCUGAGAGACGAG